rnacentral:rRNA from 1 species
AGUCGGUGAGGUAACCUUCAUGGAGCCAGCCGCCUAAGGUGGGACAGAUGAUUGGGGUGAAGUCGUAACAAGGUAGCCGUAUCGGAAGGUGCGGCUGGAUCACCUCCUUUCUAAGGA